rnacentral:rRNA from 1 species
AAUAGAUACCCAGGUAGUCCAUGCCGUAAACGUUGGGCGCUAGGUGUGGGGCUCAUUCCACGAGUUCCGUGCCGCAGCAAACGCAUUAAGCGCCCCGCCUGGGGAGUACGGCCGCAAGGCUAAAACUCAAAGGAAUUGACGGGGGCCCGCACAAGCGGCGGAGCAUGCGGAUUAAUUCGAUGCAACGCGAAGAACCUUACCAAGGCUUGACAUGGGGUGAAAACCGGCAGAGAUGUCGGGUCCGCAAGGGCGCCUCACAGGUGGUGCAUGGUUGUCGUCAGCUCAUGUCGUGAGAUGUUGGGUUAAGUCCCGCAACGAGCGCAACCCUCGUUCUAUGUUGCCAGCACGUAAUGGUGGGGACUCAUAGGAGACUGCCGGGGUCAACUCGGAGGAAGGUGGGGAUGACGUCAAAUCAUCAUGCCCCUUAUGUCUUGGGUCUUCACGCAUGCUACAAUGGCCAGUACAAAGGGCUGCGAGACCGUGAGGUGGAGCGAAUCCCAAAAAGCUGGUCUCAGUUCGGAUUGGGGU